UUUGGAGUGCAGUAUGUUUAAUUAUGAAAUUUCUACCAUUACCGUUUCAUAAGAAUAGUAGAGAAAAUCCAUCAAAGAGGGGAAGGAAGGGAAUUAACAUUUAGGGAGGAUCUAUUCCAUGCCAACAUUUUGCUGGGACUGUUACAUAGAGAAUGCUAUUUUAUUCUCACAACCACCACGGAAGGUAAGUAUUACCUGCUCCCUGUCCUCCUUUUAGGUGAGGAAAAAGGUUUAUUAAGGUUAGAUAAGUCACUCAUGGUCAUCCACUCAUAGUGACUAGGCAGGAAUUCACAUGUGGCUCUCUUUUCACUCUUCCCUGGUGUCCCGAGGAGAAAACUGAGCAGGGUCUUAAUAAAAUAAGAUCUCCAUUAUGUUACAGCAGCCUGGCUGUUAAAAUAAAUAACACCAUUCAAUAAAAAUAUCCAUGUUAUACAUCUAUGGAACACUAAUUUCUAGUUAUAUUCAUGCUAUUUAUUUUAAUGCUAAUCAGAAGAACAGAUAAUAGGGUCUGUAGUGGUUGUAAACAGCCCUUGAAUAUAAAAGUAUUCAUUUUACCCAACUCCAAGAGGACCAGACAUCGGCAUUCCUGUGAGGUAGAUGCAGCAUUUAGAAUUGUUCCCGCUACCCUCUGAAUCGCAUUCUCCCCAACCAAGGCAGACCCAUGGCGCGGUGGGGGGGCGUGGAGAGAAAGGAUGGUAACUUGAGGACUAAGCCCAACGAAUUACAGCAGAAAUAAGGGAAGGUCGUUGAAGGUCAGUGAGUCUCCGAGUGACAUUUUGGAUCAGCUUCAAUUCUCUGCAUUCUGCUCUUGCUGAAGUAUCACUUGUUUCUAGAGACCACAGUGAAUUCCAACUUCAAGGUUCGUCAGGUGGAACUGGACACACUGAAGGAGUUUGGGAACAGAUGGGGGAAAUGUGCUCCCUCACCAUGAGCCACCCUACCCAUUUCCUUGCCCCUAUCUAUCUGUCCUUGGUGGGGUGAUGACUGACCUCUACUGACUUGGCCCUAAGAACACAAGCUGCAGAGACAGGUAAGGCGAACUUACACCCCAACGAGCCCACUAAUGCCUUGCCUGUCUCCACUCCGCUAGCAAACAGAGCCGAGAAUCCAGCUCAGCCAAAGGCCUGAGAAGGAAGCAUACAAGCAUGAAAAAUACGGUUCUUUCCAAAGGCAGUUCGGUCAAGGUGUGAGUUUAAGAGUCAUCUAUCAUUCGUAGCACUCCCUGUCUUUAUUUACUGCUGCUCACUCCUCUGAGGUUUAACCGCCCAUAAACCCGGCUUAACUGCAGAAGCAAGAUGGCCUGGGGACCUCGGCGUGCAUUUGAAGAAACCCCGCUGCGCUUCCUUGAAUUCUCUUCUAGGUUCCUCACCCGAUGUUCUCUAUCUCCUUUGAGACUCAUGGCCUUUUAUAGCCUUCUUAUAAUAGGCGUCCUAAUUCCCGCCAUUUUGGGUUAUUUUAGAGGCCAGAAGGUCCCGACUCACGUGCGUGCCCCAAAGCCCCCAGCCUCAGGCGUGGCCGCCCGUGGGCGCAUUGGUAACCGCGGGUGGAAUGGAACAGGCUCCUCCAACGUCUUUUUCCACCCCUGGUUUCCGUUAAAUAUUUGCUCUGGGGACAGCGCGCAGCCUCCACACGGCCAGCCUCUCGGAGGCGAGGCUGGACCUGGGGAGGACAGCGGCCGAGGGUUAAGGGCGCACUUCCUG
ensembl:lncRNA